AUCACUUCUUGGCCUUCUGGGUGGGGAAGCAUUAUCUAAAAUUGUAUCUGUUCUUAUUAGUUUAAUAUCUGAUAGGUCCUUUAUUAGAGAACUGUAUAUUAAAUUGAUUUUUGAAACAAGGGGAUGGAAUAGGAGCUUUCUCUGUCCACCCCAUGCAUUGACCUUGUAUUGCAGUGUCUCCAGGACCAGUGCCUCUCCU